GAACGAGAAAGUGGAGCAAUCCAUGAGUAAAGUGGCGAACGGGUGAGUAACACGUGACUAACCUACCCUUGAGUGGGGGAUAACCCCGGGAAACCGGGGCUAAUACCGCAUAAUCUCGCAAGAGCAAAUGCGCAAGCAGCUUAAGGAGGGGGUCGCGGCUGAUUAGCUAGUUGGUGGGGUAACGGCUCACCAAGGCGAUGAUCAGUAGCCGGCCUGAGAGGGCGCACGGCCACACUGGAACUGAAACACGGUCCAGACUCCUACGGGAGGCAGCAGUGGGGAAUUUUGCGCAAUGGGGGAAACCCUGACGCAGCAACGCCGCGUGGAGGAUGAAGGCCUUCGGGUCGUAAACCUCUUUCGACCGGGAAAAAUGGGCGCGCGAAGAGCGCGUUCUGAUGGUACCGGUGGAAGAAGCCCCGGCUAACUACGUG
rnacentral:rRNA from 1 species